GCCCAGGUGGUGGAAUCGGCAGACACAGCGGACUUAAAAUCCGCCGACCAUAAAACGUUGUACGGGUUCAAGUCCCGUCUUGGGCACCA
rnacentral:tRNA from 1 species